AUCUAUGACCACACCAUCCUGAACAUGCUGGAUCUCAUCUAAUCUCAGAAGCUAAGCAGGGUCGGGCUUGAUUAGUACUUGGAAGAGGGAAAUGAAUGCAUAAUGGUGU
rnacentral:rRNA from 1 species